UACGGGGGGGGCAAGCGUUGUUCGGAAUUACUGGACGUAAAGGGCUCGUAGGCGGCCAACUAAGUCAGACGUGAAAUCCCUCGGCUUAACCGGGGAACUGCGUCUGAUACUGGAUGGCUUGAGUUCGGGAGAGGGAUGCGGAAUUCCAGGUGUAGCGGUGAAAUGCGUAGAUAUCUGGAGGAACACCGGUGGCGAAGGCGGCAUCCUGGACCAUUACUGACACUGAAUAGCGAAAGCCAGGGGAGCAAACGGG
rnacentral:rRNA from 1 species